CAACAUACUGGAGCAGGACCACGUCUGGGUGAGACUUCUGCCAGGGUUCGAGUACAGUGGACAUAGCUUUGGCAAAUUGCGUUGGAGAAUUUUAUGCACCUUGAGGCAUGACAGUCCAUGUAUACUGUUGCCGGUCAUGGGUAAAAGCGAACAGAUACUGACAAGAGGGAUCCAGGGGUACACUGAAGAAGGCAAGGUCUACCACCGUGAAGAAGGCACUUGUGAUAACAAUAUGUGUGGAUUGGGU